GCCUAGUUAGCUUAGUUGGUAGUGCGUCUGCCUUGUAAGCGCUAGGCCGAGGGUUCGAUUCCCGCCCGGGGCG
rfam:Asian citrus Psyllid, Diaphorina citri - Florida Strain, whole genome shotgun sequence.